rnacentral:rRNA from 1 species
UACGUAGGGUGCGAGCGUUGUCCGGAAUUAUUGGGCGUAAAGCGCACGUAGGCGGCUUUCUAAGUCGGGGGUGAAAUCCUGGAGCUCAACUCCAGAACUGCCUUCGAUACUGGAGAGCUCGAGUCCGGGAGAGGUGAGUGGAACUGCGAGUGUAGAGGUGAAAUUCGUAGAUAUUCGCAAGAACACCAGUGGCGAAGGCGGCUCACUGGCCCGGUACUGACGCUGAGGUGCGAAAGCGUGGGGAGCAAACAGG